rnacentral:sRNA from 1 species
GCUGGGCUUGGUGGCCUAUGCCUGUAAUCCCAGGGGCUCAGAGGCUGAGGUAGGAGGAUCAUGAGUUCAAAGCCAGCCUCAGCAAUUUAGUGAGGCCCUAGGCAACUCAGCAAGAUCCUGUCUCUA